rnacentral:rRNA from 1 species
UACGUAGGGGGCAAGCGUUGUCCGGAUUUAUUGGGCGUAAAGAGCGUGUAGGCGGCCACACAGGUCAGCUGUGAAAACUCGAGGCUCAACCUCGAGACGUCGGUUGAAACCGUAUGGCUAGAGUCCGGAAGAGGAGAGUGGAAUUCCCGGUGUAGCGGUGAAAUGCGCAGAUAUCAGGAGGAACACCAAUGGCGAAGGCAGCACUCUGGGACGUGACUGACGCUGAGACGCGAAAGCGUGGGGAGCAAACAGG